AUUGAACGCUGGCGGCAGGCCUAACACAUGCAAGUCGAACGAGUGGCGGACGGGUGAGUAAUGUCUGGGAAACUGCCUGAUGGUGGGGGAUAACUACUGGAACAGGUAGCUAAUACCGCUCACCCUCAGAUGUGCCCUGAUGGGCUUAGCUUGGUUGUGGGGUAACGGCUCACCAAGGCGACGAUCCCUCGCUGGUCUGAGAGGAUGACGCGCCACACUGGAACUGAGACACGUUCCAGACACCAACAGGAGUCAGCAGUGGGGAAUAUUGCAAAAUGGGCGCAAUCCUGAUGCAGCCAUGCAGCGUGUAUGAUGAAGGCCCUCGGGUUGUAAAGGACUUUCAGCGGGGAGGCGUUACCCGCAGAAGAAGCACCGGCUAACUCCGUGCCAGCCGCCGCGGUAAUCC
rnacentral:rRNA from 1 species